UACGGAGGGUGCGAGCGUUGUCCGGAAUCACUGGGCGUAAAGGGCGCGUAGGCGGCGCGGAUAGUCGGCGGUGAAAGCCCGGAGCUCAACUCCGGGUCGGCCGUCGAUACUUCCGGGCUUGAGCACUGUAGAGGCAGAUGGAAUUCCGGGUGUAGCGGUGGAAUGCGUAGAGAUCCGGAAGAACACCGGUGGCGAAGGCGGCCUGCUGGGCAGUUUUGCUGACACUGAGGCGCGGACGAGCGUGGGGAGCAAACAGG
rnacentral:rRNA from 1 species